AGCUGACGUGUUGAUAUCUUCCAUAACUGAGUCACAACGGACAACGGACAUUUUGUAACUCUUGAAAAAGUCCGGCGCUCCUCUCUUUGGGAAUAUCUGACAUAGUAUAGGCGAUGACGAGGCGGCGGCACUGCAAGAGGGUCGCCUUUUCCCUCCCCGUCUCAUUCACGAAACGUGCAAACUGGAAUGCGCGUAAAAUGAUAAAGCCAGAGGCGAGAGGCUAGAUGGAAAUUCGCAAUCUCAGCGGCGGAACUGAGGUUAUAAGCUCUCAAAUCUGCGAUCCGAAGACGUUGCCCCCUCAUCGUCGCACUCCACCCCGCGCACGAACAGAGCAGGAGCAGGAGCAGAGCACAGCAAAGCGUUGCCAACGAAACACAAUGCGCAAAUAGAGAAGCAACAUCACGCAAUUUCCGAUACACUAAAAUUUAGUGAUAAUUACCAAAGUUUUCUGUUUAUGAUGGUUGCUUCGAAUCAAAUAAUUAAAUUGAAGAAAUGAACGGUGAAAACUACACGUAGCA